AGUGAACGCUGGCGGUAGGCCUAACACAUGCAAGUCGAACGGCAGCACAGUAAGAGCUUGCUCUUACGGGUGGCGAGUGGCGGACGGGUGAGGAAUACAUCGGAAUCUACUUUUUCGUGGGGGAUAACGUAGGGAAACUUACGCUAAUACCGCAUACGACCUACGGGUGAAAGCAGGGGAUCUUCGGACCUUGCGCGAUUGAAUGAGCCGAUGUCGGAUUAGCUAGUUGGCGGGGUAAAGGCCCACCAAGGCGACGAUCCGUAGCUGGUCUGAGAGGAUGAUCGGCCACACGGGAACUGAGACACGGUCCAGACUCCUACGGGAGGCAGCAGUGGGGAAUAUUGGACAAAGGGCGCAAGCCUGAUCCAGCCAUACCGCGUGGGUGAAGAAGGCCUUCGGGUUGUAAAGCCCUUUUGUUGAGAAAGAAAAGCAGCAGGUUAAUACCCCGCUGUUCUGACGGUACCCAAAGAAUAAGCACCGGCUAACUUCGUG
rnacentral:rRNA from 1 species